GGGCGGGUGUCCGAGUGGCUGAAGGAGCGAGACUGUAAAUUUCGUCGGGUAAAGCCGAACGGUGGUUCGAAUCCACCCCCUCCCA
rnacentral:tRNA from 1 species